UGCCUUGGCCCCCACCCCAGGGCCCCGGAGGUGUGCAGAGCCUCGGGGAAGAAGGUAGCGACCCCCAGCCCGCAGGCCGUGCCCCCUGCAGCCUGCUGGGGAGCGGGGACCGCGGGCAGAGGCCCAGGGUGCUCCCCCUCGGCACCUCCUGGGCACUCGUGCCCUCAGCAGACGGUGAUAGAGAGUGUGGUCCCUGCUUGCUUCAGGCCGGGGGCCCCUGGGCCAGCAGCUUCCCCACCAGCUGGAACUGGUUAGGAAUGCGGGUUCCUGGGACCCAGACCUGCUGACUCUGAAAGUUUGCGGGUGGGCCCCAGAACUCCACUCUGACCAGGGAUUCUGAUGCUUGUCCCGCUGUGAUGCCCCUGCCUCGGAGGCCCCCUGGGUCCCGGCGUCUUCCUGCUGCAAGUGGGAAGAGGAGGACGGAGUCCACGUCUUAUCUCCUCCCUAGUCUCUGCCCCCUGCCUCUCGCCGGGUCCUCCAGGGACGAUGUCUCCACAUGUCGUGCCCCUGUCACCGUGAACCAGCCUGAGUGCUCAGGGGUGCGCCGUGCCCUGGCAGCGAGCACCCAGGAGGCCUCCUGUCCAGGCUCCUCACGCCGGGUGCAGGGCCUGCGGGGACGACCGGGGGCAGAGCCAGACCUGCGGGCGUCUGGGUGGAGUUCCUGUUCCCACAGCUGUCCUCACGGUCGAGGAGGCAGGGGCCUGCCGAGUGGGACAGCCAGACUCCCCCUCCCCGUGGGCGACCCCCGCCCUCACCUGAGCUGGGCAGGGGAGGGGAGCGGGCGGAUGGGACGGGCUUGGUGGCGGCUCAGGCCUGAUGACAGCUUCCGGCUUCCGCACAGGGUGCUUUUUCAGGCGGGAACGGUUGUGCUUAUUGCGGUUGUUUUCCCAGGAUCCCGGAGUGAGGCCGCCGGCUCUGUGGUGAGCAGCAUUCCGCUAAGCCUGUGCGCGGCUUCCUGCGGAGGCUCUGACGCCGUUAGUGAGAAGAACCUGGGACAAACCCCACGAUGCUGCUCAGGAAAUCAGCGAGACCAUCCGGAGGAAAAGAGACGUAGAGUUACAUCCAGAGAACGAGUUGCUGGACCGCUCCCUGCAGAAAAACUGGGAAGAGUAAGACCAGGAACACACGUGGAAGAAGAAGAAAGAGAUGAUAAAGUAAAGCCUGGUCACCUCCAGGAAGCAGAUGGCAGGCAGAUAACGCCGAGGCAAAUGAACCCAAUUCCCGGUCUGCCGGACCCAAUUACCGGACUGCCUGACGCCAGCGAUGCCGGUUUUGAAAUAAGGCAAGAAGAAGAAGAAUGCAGGACUUUUACCACUUUGCUCUUUACUAUGACUCCCUGGACUGCGGUGGCCGCCCGAGGGGCGGGGACGCCAGCCGGGGCCUCCAGGCGUGUGUGGGCAUCUUGUCUGCAGCCAGCGUCCCCGAGGCCGCGCUCGGCCCAUAAUCACUCAGUGAAGCUGCGCCGCGACAGCGCGGCUGACUUUUUCUGGCACUGUGAGGACCUGUGCGCAUUGCAGGAUUCGGUGCCUCUGCCCGCCGUGCGCGCCUCCCUGCGGGAGGGCCUGCUGGACUUCAACGCUGACCGCCUCCGCGGGGUGGACUGGGCGCCGCCCCUGAGAACCCUCUGCCCCCGAUCUGUAUCCAGAGCUUCUUCCAGCCACGGCUUGGCGAGACGGGUUCAGACAGAAAUAAAGUUUCCAGAAGUUGUGUUCCUGCAAUAAGAAAUAAAGAUGUGACCUUCCAGUUGUGUAAAGCUCUUAAAUGCUGUGUAAGUGCAUCCGGUGCGCUAAGGAACUUGGAGCUAGAUGGGCUAGUUCUGAGAGAGAGAGACUAAACUACAUUAACAAAGCUCGAGAGAGGCUAUAUUCAUCUGUGUUGAUCACUGCUGUGUUUCCUGAACAUGCCUAUGAAAGAUACUGAAGAAUGGUGCCUGAAAUUUGGACAAACCCCACGAUGCUGCUCAGGAAAUCAGCGAGACCAUCCGGAGGAAAAGAGACGUAGAGUUACAUCCAGAGAACGAGUUGCUGGACCGCUCCCUGCAGAAAAACUGGGAAGAGUAAGACCAGGAACACACGUGGAAGAAGAAGAAAGAGAUGAUAAAGUAAAGCCUGGUCACCUCCAGGUUUGUCACUUCCACCUUAAUCUCAGAACCCAUUUGGUUUUAGGAAGGGGGGUCAGGGUGUGGGGAGCGUGUAGGAACAGAAUGACUUUCACUAAUGAUCAAAAUGACCUUGGAUUUAGCUAAAAUGCUCUUCAAACUCAUUUUUCUGCUGGUUCUCUAUGUGGAAGGUGUGUUACGUGGCUCUGGUGAUAGUAAAUCAGCGGUAGGCCUGGAAGUCAGCUGGACCUCUGCUACUUGAUCACUCAGUCACAGAGCUUCAGUCUGUCCCCUCUCCUGCCUGCGUCUCCUGCCCAUGAGGUCUUUGUGAAGGUCUCAUUUCCAAACACAUGAGGUGCUAAAGUGCUCUAGUAUCGUCCAGGUAUAAAGUUGCAUUCUUAACUGAGAUCAGACCAGUUCUUUCCCCAGACCUCGAGCUCCUUUGUAAAAUCAGAGUUUCAGGUUCUAUGAAAUACAGAUAUACCCACUGAACCCCCAUGGGAGGGGGGGGAGGAGAAGGGAUUGGGGAUCUGAUACUGGAAGCUUUACAAUUAGACAGCACUGCCCCAUAUGACAAAGGGCUGACAUUGGUCGGGCACAGGUGGUAGAACAAUAUCACAUCCCUUUUGGUUUUAUUAAGACGUUGAUUAGAAGUUUCAGCUCAGCAGAGGGGCAGCACCCGGGGCAGGCACUGGGCCUCCACCAUCGAUGGAUCCUCCCCUCCAGCACCCAGGCUAGGUACUCAGUUACCCGCAACCCAAAGGGCAGGAACAGAGAUCUGCCAGGCUGGCCUUCCCAGAGGGCAAGUGUAAGCAGCAGAGCCAGGAAUGUGAGCGACAGGCUUUGCUGGGUUGUUGGGAAGGAGGGCGACGUCUGGCUCGGCACGGCUGGAGUCAGCGCUAGCCUCCCCUCGGACACGUGCACUGGGCCCCCUGGUCUCAGGCGCACACAGGCCUCCAAAGCCCUUCCGUCGGGAUGGCGCUCAGACCCUCCACCCAGCCCACCCUCCCGCCCCAAACACCAGCAGGUCAAGCACCACUCAGAGAAGGGGGCCUUUAAAGGGCUUUAGAAAAUCUUAGAAUCCGGAUAUGGAAGCUACUAUGUUUCACUUCUGGCUGAGAGCUCUGCUCCCAGAGCACAGGAUGGCCGAGGGGGGCGAGAUGGGAGGGUCUCGCUGUGACCCCGAGGCACUGCUGGCCUUUUCAGCCACAUGCCUGCCUUCCUUGGAAAUACAUUUCAUUAACAGCCAAAGGGAACACCCUGAGAAACAGGAGGAAUUAUUGGUUCCUUGCAACCCUUAGCAACAGUGAGUUUUCACCACCGUCUAUUUCGUCUGCUCUCUGCAAUGCGCUGGAACUUUCCUUUGGGCUAAAUGUGCCUCAGCUGUCCACGGCACCCUACACACUUGGCCUCUCCGCCUGACCCGGGAGUGCCCUGGGCCCCAGGGACAGGGUCCCUCCUUCCUGACGACCCCCUCGUGGGAGUGCUGAGGCCAGUCAGCCCCCAGCUCUGGGGGCUCAGCGUCCCCUAGGAAGUGACUGCGAGUCAAGCUCCCCAGCGACCCCCUCCGCCCUGGUCUCCCUCCCGCCAGGGCCGCUUCGUGCGCGGUGCCGGUCGCCCCUCCUCAGGGGGGAGGAGACCCGGGCCGACUCCGCUCCACUGACCUGCCGCUGCCCGUCCGGGACGUGGCCGAACAGCCGGUAGGUGUCAGGGAAGCCCCGAGGGCGGGCGCCCUCCCGCCCCCUCGUGACACGGUGCUGCUCCGGGUGGAGCCCGCGGCCCGGGUGGCAAGAGGCGCGACGGGGGUGGGAAGGAGAUGGGGCCACGGGAAGCCCGGGCCGGGGCGCAGAGGCAGGAGGCGGCGAGGGGGACCGGCCCAGCCGCGAAGCCUCUGCCUCCACCCCGCCCAGGACCGAGCGGUCCUUAGACCUCCCUGCCGGCCCCUGGGCUCGGGGUGGGUGACGGUCGCGCCGAAGAAGCCGUCCCGCUCGAGCCGUCCAGAGAGGCCGGCCCAGGGGUUGUGCCUGUUCCCGGCGUGGGGGCGAGCGAGCGCCAGGGCAUGAGGGUGUGGAGCCGUCUGGCCGCAGGUCACAGGCUUUGCCUGUCGGAAAGGAGGGCUGCGAUGGGGCUGUGCCGACGGAAGGGGAGGAUGGAGCCGCCCACAGUCCCCGUUUGCCAGGCAGAGCUUCAUUGCGGACCCCGUUCUCCGCAGCCGUGCGCAGCAGAGACACCCAGGCCUGGCGACUCUGCACCCCACCCAGGGCAGCUGGGUUCCUGCGCGGCAGCCCCGGCAUCUCCUGCUGAGAAACCCCAGAGACCGUGCUCCUUUCCCCGAGCCCACCGCAGCGCUGCAGAGCCCAAGGGGGCUGGGGCUUCACCCCAAACUUGAGGAAGCCACACCUGGGGGCCGCAGCACAAGCGGGGCUCCCACCUUCCCCGCAGGAGCAGACCCCGCGGAGGGUCUAUCUUUUGGAAGUAAAUUUAGACUAACAGGUUUUACACACAGAAUCUUAGAGCUGGGAAAAGUCCUUUGUGUCAUUCAUGUAGCUUCAUAAGAUUUUUUUUAAAUGAGAGGAUGGAUUUCCUUGAGCAAGAGUGAAUUUCCAGGAAUGGGUCCCUGGAUACCAAAGACUGUUUUGGGGAAGAAAGAUGAAUCUAUAAUGUGAACGCCUUAUAGAACUUAUUCUAUAUUGUAGUUCUGUCUGGAAACACAUGUACCGUUGAUCUUUGUAGCAGCCCUUAACAUCCUCAAGAGAAGCUCUCAUUUCCCCAUUAGUACUUGUUAUAGACUGAAUAUUUGGGUCCCCCCAGCGUUCACAUGUUGACACCCUACCUCCAAUGUGAUGGUAUUAGAAGGUGGGUCUUUUGGGAGGUGAUUAGGAUUUGAUGAGGUCAUCAGGAUGGAGCCCUCAUGAUGAGAUUCUUACCCUUGUGAGAGUCAUGAGAGAGCUGGCUUUUUCUCUCUGCUCUCUGCCCUGUGAGGACACAAUGAGAAGUGGACAGUCUGCAACCCGGAAGAGAAUCCUCACCAGAAGGCGAUGAUCCCGGCACCUAGAUCUCAGACUUUCAGCCUCCAGGACUGAGAAAAUACAUUUUUGUUGUUUACAAGCCCCCACCCCGCCCCGUUUGUGGUACUUUGUGACAGCAGCCCAAACUGACUUAGCACUCUUUUCUUCAAGUAAAUGGAAGAGUUUGUGGAGCCCAUCCAUUUUACGAUACAAUUUCCCAAAUAACCAAGAUUCUCCCUGUACACUCUGAUUUGUCAACUUUUUUAUUUAUCAAAAUUGUUAUAAAAAGUUUCCAUAUUUUUUCCUAAUAAAUUGUUUCCAAUCCAUGUUGCCACUAUAA